rnacentral:rRNA from 1 species
AAAGGAAUUGACGGGGGCCCGCACAAGCAGUGGAGUAUGUGGUUUAAUUCGAAGCAACGCGAAAAACCUUACCAGGUCUUGACAUCUGGCGAAUUUGGUCGAAAGAUUGAAGUGCCCUUCGGGGAAUGCCAAGACAGGUGGUGCAUGGUUGUCGUCAGCUCGUGUCGUGAGAUGUUGGGUUAAGUCCCGCAACGAGCGCAACCCUUGCCAUUAGUUACUACGAAAGAGGACUCUAAUGGGACUGCCGUUGACAAAACGGAGGAAGGUGGGGACGAUGUCAAAUCAUCAUGCCCCUUACUGACCUGGGCUACACACGUACUACAAUGGCGCAUACAGGGAGUCGCGACUCAGCGAUGAGUAGCCAAUCUCCAAAAAGCGUCUCAGUUCGGAUUGCAGGCUGAAACUCGCCUGCAUGAAGUCGGAAUUGCUAGUAAUCGCGGAUCAGCAUGCCGCGGUGAAUACGUUCCCGGGCCUUGUACACACCGCCCGU